AAUGAACGUUGGCGGCGUGCUUAUCACAUGCAAGUCGAGCGAGAAAGUUCCUUCGGGAGCGAGUACAGCGGCGGACGGUUGAGUAACACGUAAGAAUCUACCCUUUAGUGAAGAAUACUCUCGAGAAAUCGAGGUUAAUGCUGCAUAAGUCCCCUUCGGGGGAGAAAGAUGGCCUCUUUGCUGUCGCUAAAGGAUGAGCUUGCGGCCUAUCAGCUUGUUGGUGAGGUAAUGGCUCACCAAGGCGAUGACGGGUAGCCGGCCUGAGAGGGUGGUCGGCCAGACUGGAACUUAGAUACGGUCCAGACUCCUACGGGAGGCAGCAGUGGGGAAUAUUGCGCAAUGGGCGAAAGCCUGACGCAGCGACGCCGCGUGGAGGAUGAAGGCCUUAGGGUCGUAAACUUCUGUUAAGUGGGAAGAAAGAAUCAUUGUUAAUACCAAUGAGAGAUGACGGUACCAUUAGAGAAAGCACCGGCUAAACUCGUGCCAGCAGCCGCGGUAAUACGAGUGGUGCGAACGUUAUUCGGAUUUACUGGGCGUAAAGGGUGCGUAGACGGCAAAAUAAGUCAACUGUUAAAUUUUUCGGCCUAACCGGAAACCUGCAGUAGAAACUAUUAUGCUAGAGGGUGGAAGAGAGAAGUGGAAUUCUCGGAGUAGCGGUCAAAUGCGUAGAUAUCGAGAGGAACACCGAUGGCGAAAGCAGCUUCUUGGUCCACACCUGACGUUGAGGCACGAAAGCGUGGGGAGCAAACAGGAUUAGAUACCCUGGUAGUCCACGCCGUAAACGAUGAUCACUAAACGUUAGCUUCGCUUAGCGAAGUUAGUGUUGUAGCUAACGCGUUAAGUGAUCCGCCUGGGGAUUACGGUCGCAAGACUAAAACUUAAAGGAAUUGACGGGGGUCCGCACAAGCGGUGGAACAUGUGGUUUAAUUCGACACUACGCGAGAAACCUUACCUAGGCUUGACAUGUAUUUGACAACCGUAGAAACACGGUCUUCCAAGCUUUGCUUGGACAGAUACACAGGUGCUGCAUGGCUGUCGUCAGCUCGUGUCGUGAGAUGUCUGGUUGAGUCCUCUAACGAGCGCAACUCCUAUCAUCAGUUGCUACUUCUUCGGAAGGCACUCUGGUGAAACUGCCUGGGAAACCAGGAGGAAGGUGGGAACGACGUCAAGUCAUCAUGGUCCUUAUGUCUAGGGCUACACACGUGUUACAAUGGCCAGUACAAAGGGCAGCAAUCUCGUAAGGGUGAGCUAAUCCCAUAAAGCUGGUCUAAGUUCGGAUUGAGGUCUGCAACUCGACCUCAUGAAGUUGAAAUCGCUAGUAAUCGCGUAUCAGAACGACGCGGUGAAUACGUUCUCGGACCUUGUACACACCGCCCGUCACACCACGAAAGCUGUUUGUACCCGAAGAUAUCUUAGCCAACCCGUAAGGGAGGCGGAUAUUUAAGGUGUGAAUGGUGAUUGGGGUG
rnacentral:rRNA from 1 species